AUUGAACGCUGGCGGCAUGCCUUACACAUGCAAGUCGAACGAAGUCUUCGGACUUAGUGGCGGACGGGUGAGUAACACGUGGGAACGUACCUUUUGGUUCGGAACAACUCAGGGAAACUUGAGCUAAUACCGGAUAAGCCCUUUGGGGGAAAGAUUUAUCGCCAUUAGAGCGGCCCGCGUUAGAUUAGCUAGUUGGUGAGGUAAAGGCUCACCAAGGCUACGAUCUAUAGCUGGUCUGAGAGGAUGAUCAGCCACACUGGGACUGAGACACGGCCCAGACUCCUACGGGAGGCAGCAGUGGGGAAUCUUGCGCAAUGGGCGAAAGCCUGACGCAGCCAUGCCGCGUGAAUGAUGAAGGUCUUAGGAUUGUAAAAUUCUUUUACCAGGGACGAUAAUGACGGUACCUGGAGAACAAGCCCCGGCUAACUUCGUGCCAGCCGCCGCAGUAAGAC
rnacentral:rRNA from 1 species